rnacentral:rRNA from 1 species
AGCGAACGCUGGCGGCAGGCCUAACACAUGCAAGUCGAACGGAUCCUUCGGGAUUAGUGGCGGACGGGUGAGUAACACGUGGGAACGUGCCCUUUGGUUCGGAACAACUCAGGGAAACUUGAGCUAAUACCGGAUGUGCCCUUCGGGGGAAAGAUUUAUCGCCAUUGGAGCGGCCCGCGUCUGAUUAGCUAGUUGGUGAGGUAAGGGCUCACCAAGGCGACGAUCAGUAGCUGGUCUGAGAGGAUGAUCAGCCACAUUGGGACUGAGACACGGCCCAAACUCCUACGGGAGGCAGCAGUGGGGAAUCUUGCGCAAUGGGCGAAAGCCUGACGCAGCCAUGCCGCGUGAAUGAUGAAGGUCUUAGGAUUGUAAAAUUCUUUCACCGGGGACGAUAAUGACGGUACCCGGAGAAGAAGCCCCGGCUAACUUCGUGCCAGCCGCCGCAGUAA